CAAUAGCGUAUAUUAAAGUUGUUGCGGUAAAAAAGCUCGUAGUUGGAUUUCUGUUGAGAGCGACCGGUCCAUACCAUGUAUGCGUAUCUGGCUUGCUCUCGGCAUCCUCUCGAUAGACGUUACUGCGCUUGAUUGCGUGGUGCGGAUCUCGGGACUUUUACUUUGAGGAAAUUAGAGUGUUCACGGCAGGCUUUCGCCAGAAUACAUUAGCAUGGAAUAAUACUAUAGGAUCUUGGUUCUAUUUUGUUGGUUUCUAGAAUUGAGAUAAUGAUUAAUAGGGACAAUUGGGGGCAUUCGUAUCAACACGUCAGAGGUGGAAUUCUUGGAUUGUGUUGCGACGAACCACUGCGAAAGCAUUUGCCAAGGAUGUUUUCAUUGA
rnacentral:rRNA from 1 species